rnacentral:rRNA from 1 species
UACAGAGGUCUCAAGCGUUGUUCGGAUUUAUUGGGCGUAAAGGGCGCGUAGGCGGCGGGGUAAGUCGGGUGUGAAAUCUCAGGGCUCAACCCUGAAACUGCACUUGAUACUGCUCUGCUUGAGGACUGGAGAGGAGACGUGGAAUUCACGGUGUAGCAGUGAAAUGCGUAGAUAUCGUGAGGAAGACCAGUGGCGAAGGCGGGUCUCUGGACAGUUCCUGACACUGAGACACGA